UACGGGGGGAGCAAGCGUUGUUCGGAUUUACUGGGCGUAAAGGGCGCGUAGGCGGCCACCGCAAGUCAGUUGUGAAAUCUCUGGGCUUAACCCAGAACGGUCAGCUGAUACUGCGGGGCUAGAGUGCAGAAGGGGCAACUGGAAUUCUCGGUGUAGCGGUGAAAUGCGUAGAUAUUGGGAGGAACACCAGUGGCGAGGGCGGCUCACUGGACCGGUACUGACGCUGAUGCGCGAAAGCGUGGGGAGCAAACAGG
rnacentral:rRNA from 1 species